AGUUAUACAGUACGUUUAAAAUGGCUAACAUGAAUAUAUAGAUAAUUGCAUAUUAGAGUACAUAGAAACUGGAUAUAGUGAUUGUUUAUUUUAUUUAUUAAUCAAGUCUUUCCUCCUCAACUGAUAUUUGGAAAUUACAGAAAGAGGUUGACAGUGUUUUCUAUAGAACAACUGCUUCAACUGUCCAAAAUGCAGGCACAGAAAGUAACAGCAUUCUUUGUCAUUAUGGCAACAGUGCAUGCAGCAGCAACAAUUCUGGCAACUGCACAAACCACAGAUGGGUUUACAACCAAGGAUGCGACAACAUCCACAGAAGUUCCCACAACAACAACCACACCUACUUCAACAACAACCAAAGCUGCUUCCAUAACAACAACAGAGGCUGCCUCAACUAAAAUCAAUCAAAUAAUCAAAAACUCAAAUGUAUUUAUGAAGCCCUUUUUACAAUGGCAUUUGUCAAAACGUGCUUUUAAAAAAGACCCAGGCUUAAGACGGAAAACUCAAACAGUAGUGUUGGGAAGUACAGCUGGUCCCACAAAAACCACACCUCCUCCCACAACAAAAACAGAGGCUCCCACAACAACCACAGAGGCUUCCAAAACAACCAUAGAGGCCACAACAACACUAAAAGCUGCAACCACAACAACCACAGCUACUCCCACAACAAAAACAGAGGCUCCCACAACAACCUUGUCUGGUGCCACAACAACCUUGUCUGGAACCACAACAAACUUGUUUGGUGCCACAACAACAACAGAGGCUGUCAAACCUGCUACAGCUCCUCCCACAAGAACCACAGCUCCUGCCACAACAACCACAGCUCCUCCCACAACAAACACAGCUCCU